GCGGUCGUAGCUCAGUUGGUAGAGCACCGGAUUGUGAUUCCGGUUGUCGCGGGUUCAAGCCCCGUCGAUCGCCCCA
rnacentral:tRNA from 1 species